ensembl:lncRNA
AUAUUUUUUUAUGUGUGGACGGUGUAUAAAACAACAAAGCAAAAAAUGUCAAACUAACUCCCGUGCGCUGAAGUGAUUGCUCCCUCCAGCGCGUUUCUCCUUGGGAACCCCGGUUCCUCACGGAUUUCGUUUUUUCUUUCAAAUGUUGGAGUCCAAAGGGGGCAACCAGAGAUGGGAACAGCCAUAUUCAGCACUCAGCACACAAGGAUCGUUCCAGCUCACAGACAUUCCUGAACACGGGGAACUUUGCUUUUAGCCUCCAAAGCUGAAAAAAACAGACACGAUUAGCAUAAAUCAUCUUUAUGAAAGCUUUAAUUUUUAAAGUUACACCACAACAUCUUGAUUAUGGACAGUGUGUCUUAAGCAUGGUUCUGGGAUUGCAAUACAGUAUUAUUUUUCUUGAAAUGACGCUCAAUGCACUCAUAUUUUCGUCACACAUACACUAUGUUGUAGCAGCAGUUUCUCACACCAUAGUUGGACAUCAACAGCUGAUACUGUACCGAUGAACAAAACUCUGCAUCUUUUAAUGCAAACUUGUUCUGGCCUCUGCCGCUUGAUGAAUCACUCACAUCCAAAAAGGAGGUGCUCAUCUUAAGGCCUAAUUUCUAGAUGUCGACUGUGGUGUCCCUUUUGUUUUAAACAUUACCUUGUUUUUGUUUUUUAUUUCUCAAAAAGAAUGAGGUGAUGCGAGAAAAACUGAGGGUUUUACCUUUUUAUAAUCAUGCAAAAUCACUUUGACGACUAUGUUCUAUCACAUGGUGUUGGGUAUUAGAGCGGUGUUGAAGACAGUUGUGUAAGUGUAUGCUUGUGUGCGUGUGUGUGUUCAUAACUUCAGGUGAAGUGAUUUGCCUUUUCCUGCAGUGUCCCGUUUUGUCCAAGAAGGAAAACACGGAGCAACCAAGGGCUGUUUUAGCUUCAAAGAUAUAUCGUCCUAUCUUUCUGAGACAAAUCCUUGUGUCAACUGAAUAUGACACCAAAGGUUAAAGCCUGACUACGCAGCAAUAAAUGUUCUAUGUGGAUGCCCUGAGUAAAUGAUGUCAAUGUGAUUUCUAUCUCCUCAGAAUACCACAGUUUUCAUUGCCGUCUGUUUUUGAUGCUACUUGUCUGAACCUACAACCAAUCUGAGAGCACGUCUGCCCUCUCGGGAACCAAUCAGUAAAGAGAAAUUGGAAAACAUGAACAAUUGAGGUUAUUGAACUAAGGUCAGGCGGAACAACUGGUAACUUUUGAAAGAUAGCUGUAAAGGUGUGCACAGACUGUAGCAAAUUUUCUUGCUUUAUUCACACAAAUUUAACUGGUGGAGCGUUGAUAUGCUGCAAACAGCAAAUGCACCCACGGUCCAGAUGUUGGCUAUACAAACUUAACAAUGCACCGACUCCCUGCGUGCACAGUGUGCCUUUGUAGGUGAGUGCGUGCUACAUUUCUGAAUCAUAGCAAUUUACCAGGAUUGGAUGAUUUUCCUUUCUGUUGUUUCCCCCCUCUCUUGUCUCUGUAUGUGCACAGAGUGGAGUGCGAUAGCUCUGGAGAAGCACACAUUGUUUGCUAAAGUUUCUACCUUUUCAAAUAGCAAAGAGUUGUGCCACUCUACGUUGAAGUCGUAUGCAAUGACUCCACCUCCAAAAUGAGCUUCGCCUUCAGUCUGAACACACCUUAAGGAGUGUACAAUUCACAUUUGUACAUAUCUUUGUAUUUUGAUCUGCAUGUGUGCAUUACUGCCAGUAACCAUGAUUAUUAUCAUUAGAAUGCAUUUCAUAAAAUUGUACAAAGUUAAAGGGAAUGCCCCAGUGAUUUUUGACUGCUGCUAUGAAUCUACUAAAAACAUCAGUCAAAGCCACAAAAAAAUGUGUUUCUUCCUGCACACUAUUCACAAGAUAUUCAUCAAUUUUGAUUUAAUUCGCAUUUAAUAAGCAUUUGAAAUGAGAGAAGGAGAAAAAGAGGCAGGAAGUGUGCAGAGAUGACGUGGACGGCUGGACAGCGUGGAUCCGACGCUCGGCGCUGCAGGACUAAGAGACUUCUUCAGACAGCUCGUCAUCGGCGGCCUGGCCCAGCGGAGCCGGCGGUGCGAGAGGAGCACAUUAGGCAUGCACGCUGAACUCUGAGGUGUUGUUUACCUCACACCCAC